GUCCACGCGGUAAACGAUGGGCACUAGGUGUGGGGGUAUCCACUCCUCCCGUGCCGAAGCUAACGCAUUAAGUGCCCCGCCUGGGGAGUACGGCCGCAAGGUUAAAACUCAAAGGAAUUGACGGGGCCCGCACAAGCGGUGGAGCAUGUGGUUUAAUUCGACGCAACGCGAAGAACCUUACCUGGGCUUGACAUCCCUGGAGCUCCCCUGGAAACAGGGGGGUGCCCUCGAAAGAGGGAGCCAGGAGACAGGUGCUGCAUGGCUGUCGU
rnacentral:rRNA from 1 species